AUUGAACGCUGGCGGCAGGCCUAACACAUGCAAGUCGAGCGGAUGAAGGGAGCUUGCUCCUGGAUUCAGCGGCGGACGGGUGAGUAAUGCCUAGGAAUCUGCCUUGUAUUUGGGGAUAACGUCCGUAAACGGGCGCUAAUACAGCAUACGUCCUGAUGGAGAAAGUGGGGGAUCUUCGGACCUCACGCUAUCAGAUGACCCUAGGUCGGAUUAGCUAGUUGGUGGGGUAAAGGCCUACCAAGGCGACGAUCCGUAACUGGUCUGAGAGGAUGAUCAGUCACACUGGAACUGAGACACGGUCCAGACUCCUACGGGAGGCAGCAGUGGGGAAUAUUGGACAAUGGGCGAAAGCCUGAUCCAGCAAUGCCGCGUGUGUGAAGAAGGUCUUCGGAUUGUAAAGCACUUUAAGUUGGGAGGAAGGGCAGUAAGUUAAUACCUUGCUGUUUUGACGUUACCAAAAGAAUAAGCACCGGCUAACUUCGUG
rnacentral:rRNA from 1 species